rnacentral:rRNA from 1 species
CGUGGCGGUCAUAUACAUGUAAGUCGACGGAGAUUAUAGCAAUAUGAUCUUAGUGGCGAACGGGUGAGUAACGCGUUGGUGACCUGCCCCGAAGAUUGGGAUAACAGUUCGAAAGGGCUGCUAAUACCGAAUGAUCUCACGAAGAUUAGAGGCUUUGUGAGGAAAGGCGAAAGUCGCUUUGGGAGGGGCCUGCGUCCCAUCAGCUAGUUGGUAAGGUAAAAGCUUACCAAGGCGACGACGGGUAGGGGACCUGAGAGGGUGACCCCCCACACUGGCACUGAAACACGGGCCAGACACCUACAGGUGGCAGCAGUAGGGAAUAUUGCACAAUGGGCGAAAGCCUGAUGCAGCAACGCCGCGUGCGCGAUGAAGGCCUUCGGGUUGUAAAGCGCUUUUCUAGGAGAUGAGAAAGGACAGUAUCCUUGGAAUAAGGAUCGGCUAACUACGUGCCAGCAGCUGCGGUAAAACGUAGGAUCCGAGCGUUAUCCGAAUUCACUGGGCGUAAAGCGCGUGCAGGCGGCCCUGUAAGUUGGAUGUGAAAUCUCCCGGCUCAACUGGGAGGGGACGUUCAAUACUGUAGGGCUAGAGGGCGAUAGAGGGAGGUAGAAUUCCCGGUGUAGUGGUGAAAUGCGUAGAUAUCGGGAGGAAUACCAGAGGCGAAGGCGGCCUCCUGGGUCGCACCUGACGCUCAGACGCGAAAGCUAGGGGAGCGAACGGGAUUAGAAACCCCGGUAGUCCUAGCCGUAAACGAUGUAGACUUGGUGUCGGUUGAGUAAAAUCAAUCGGUGCCGUAGCCAACGCGAUAAGUCUACCGCCUGGGGACUACGGCCGCAAGGUUAAAACUCAAAGGAAUUGACGG